GACGAACGCUGGCGGCGUGCUUAACACAUGCAAGUCGAACGGUGAUGGCCAGCUUGCUGGUCGGAUCAGUGGCGAACGGGUGAGUAACACGUGAGUAACCUGCCCCAGACUCUGGGAUAAGCCUUGGAAACGAGGUCUAAUACUGGAUAUGAGAUGCCCCUGCAUGGGGAGUGUCUGGAAAGAUUUAUCGGUCUGGGAUG
rnacentral:rRNA from 1 species